GCACUUCAUUCCUCAUGUAUUCCAAGCCUAAAUUCACUCAUACCUUCAGAUGAAUUCUCACUUCAAUAUGCCACAGUGAACAAUGCCAUAGGAGCAAUCUUGAAAGCUGGGUAUGGUGCUUGGCUGGGAAAAACGGAUAUCUCCAAUGCUUUCAAGUUGCUACCCAUGCACCCAUCACUGUGGCAUUUACACGGCAUCAAAGGGAAA